GGUUAAAGAAUAUAUGAAGACCUGUGGUC
rnacentral:piRNA from 1 species